CCAGGCACCACUCAGGAAACUUCUCUUUCUGUUCUCUAACUUCCCCAAGAUCCUGUCAGGCAUGGAACUCUCUGUAUCCUCUGUGGACACCCACCUACCUGAGGCAGGGCCUAGGAACACACAGGACUCGGCUCUCUCAAGAGAUUCCAAGUGGACUGAGGACAGGAAGCCUUCCUUCAAUGAGCACUGAAAGUCUCCAGAGGCUCUCCUCCACACUGCUGACAUCUUCCAUGAUGAAGCCUAGAAGAAAAUCACUCUCCCUGCCACCUGGAGACAAGCCUGUCUAUGCUCUUCCAAAUCUCCCUCUCUACAAAGCUUCCUGGAGACUUUU